CCCCAGAUGUGUUGUAUGUAGGUGUGAGGGCCCAAGUGUGUGUACUGUAGGUGUGAAGGAAGGCCCCCCGUGUGUGUUUACUGUAUGUGUGAGAGCCCUCCGCUGUUGUGUGUUACUGUAUGGUGUGAGAGCCCCAGUGUGUGUACUGUAGGUGAGAGCCCCAGUGUGUGUACUGUAGGUGUGCUUUUGGAUCCCCUUUUUCCAUUACUUGAACUCUACUUGGGCAAUAACAUGUUUUCUCUGCAUUGUUGCCUUUUCCUCUCCUCUCUUUCUUCUCCUGCUUUCUGAGGUACUGUGCUUUAAUCGUACAAAACCUUACAAGACAGAAGCUUUAGCUAGAGUCGUGUCUUCCUUAUGCAGCUGGGCCUUUAUAUUCAGAUUCUGCUUUCACUAGAAUGUCUUUGUUUAUCACUUUCCACAUUUCUUCCCAUUUUGUCUCAUCUCUCCUGAAAGGGCCUUAGUACUCCUUAAGCUGCUCAUCCAAGUUUCAGUUUGUUUAUGUAUUAAUGUAUUUGUAUGUAAGUAUGUAUGGUUUACAUUUGAAGUUACAAGUCAUAUCACCUUCUGGAAAAAGGCUUGAUAGAAAGCUGGAUAACAGCUAACUCUGCUUCAGGCUGUUUGUGUGGCCUGCUAACACUGAGCCAGUGUUACCAAGCAGCUCUAAUGCCCUGGACAAGAGCAAGAUAACAGCUAGCUAAGUGGUAGUGCUUUUUUAAAUGCAGCUACAUUAUCAUUUGGUUUUCAGUAUUUUGACAUUUUGCACUAUCAAUUAUUUUGCUGUUGUAAUGUUUGGGGUUGUAUGCUAUUAUGUCCAGUAAAUCAAUCGCUUGUUUUUUUGUGUGAAUUAUAAUGACCUGUUCUGACCAAUUCAUUCAUGUUAUUUAUUGAGUGUCUUUUCGCCUGCCUUAAAAUGAAAGCCAAUCCUGUUACAGCCGAUAAUGUAGUUUGUGUGAGAAGUGUGGGCUUCCAUCUUUAAUCAUCAAAAUGCCUCAGAUGCCCAUGUAGUAAGAAGCCAUGUUUCUGUUUUUCAUUGUAUACAAGAGAUCCAAAACCGAUGGUCACUGUUGCUUGAAUAAAGGUGUCUACUCCAAUCUGGAAAGCAAAGGAGAUAAUAUCUUAAAUAUGUUUUUUCUUCUUUUAAUUGGCUUCUAGCAAAGCUCAAUGUACUAAGAGCAGAAAGGGAACGCUUAUAAACGGUCUGUUCUUUGAAGUAAAACUCUGCAUACUUGUAGUCAAAUGUACAUAACUGAAGUCUAUCAGAGUGCAGGCUCUCAUAGACUGUCUUAAAAAGCUUAUAUGACUAG
ensembl:lncRNA